GCGAGAGUGAUCCAAUUGGUAGAGGUCCUGGAUUUAAAAUCCAGUUGUUGAGGGUUCGACUCCCUUCUCUCGUACUA
rnacentral:tRNA from 1 species